rnacentral:ncRNA from 1 species
ACGCAACUCUGGAGAGUGUUUCUUAUAAAAGAAACCACCAAAGGGGAAAGCCGUAAGGUAAACUUUCAGGUGACAGGACAGAGA